GACGAACGCUGGCGGCGUGCUUAGCACAUGCAAGUCGAGCGACGCUCUUCCUUCGGGGAGAUGACGGAGCGGCGAACGGGUGAGUAACACGUGGGCAACCUGCCCCUAGCUCUGGGACAACACCGGGAAACCGGUGCUAAUACCGGAUACGACAUCGAGCGGCAUCUCUCGAUGUGGAAAGUUUUUUCGGCUAGGGAUGGGCCCGCGGCCUAUCAGCUUGUUGGUGGGGUAAUGGCCCACCAAGGCGACGACGGGUAGCCGGCCUGAGAGGGCGACCGGCCACACUGGGACUGAGGCACGGCCCAGACUCCUACGGGAGGCAGCAGUGGGGAAUAUUGAGCAAUGGGCGAAAGCCUGACGCAGCGACGCCGCGUGAGGGAUGACGGCCUUCGGGUUGUAAACCUCUUGCAGCAGGGACGAAUUCAGACGGUACCUGCAGAAGAAGCACCGGCCAACUACGUG
rnacentral:rRNA from 1 species